rnacentral:rRNA from 1 species
GACGAACGCUGGCGGCGUGCCUAAUACAUGCAAGUAGGACGCAGUUGCGAACGGGCGAGUAACGCGUAGGUAACUACCUAGAAGGGGGGGAUAAAUAAUGGAAACGAUAGCUAAUACCGCAUACUAGGAGCUGGACAUGCGUUGUAUUAGCUAGUAGGUAGGGGAAUGGCCUACCUAGGCAACGAUACAUAGCCGACUCGUGAUGUGUAUCCGACACACUGUGACUCAGACACGGCCCAGAGUCCUACGGUAGCCAUCAGUAUGGAAUCGUUCGCAAUGUGGGGAACCCUGACCGAGCAACGCCGCGUGAGUGAAGAAGGUUUUCGGAUCGUAAAGCUCUGUUGUUAAGGAAGCGGUACUUAACCAGAAAGGGACGGCUAACUACGUGCCAGCAGCCGCGGUAAUAC